UUGUUGCUCUCCACUUUCCUGCUCAGAGACAACUGCCCAGCUUCUCCAAAGGCCAACACAGGACUGAGGGCAGCUCUGCAGCAUCCCACCCUGUGUCAGCAGCAACCCUAAUCCUGACCUGGGAUACCAUCUCACUGCAGCUCAGAGGGCCAGCAGUGGAGGCUCGAGAUGCACCUGAGAGGAGAGCCAAUGCACUGCAGCAGGAGCAGCCACCAGGACCUCACCGUGGACGGGAGGGAGGAAGGACAGAGGCAGCACAGUGCCUGGCACCCUCAGGGAUUGGGAUGCACCCAGGGUCGUGCCGUGCUCCUUCCCCCAGCAUUGACGUGGGAAUGGCCCCAGUGCAGCCGCCCACCGCCGCUCACUGUGAUCCAGGGUCCUGAGCUGACCUCGCUCUCCUGCACCCAUGCAGGGCAGGAAUGGCCGAAUUACUGCUCCCUGCUGCGCUCUGCACAUCCUCCUCCUGGCCGGGUGGCCUCAGGAUCUGUGGGGCUGGAUGGCUGCGUCCUCUCGGGUCAAACAGUAGCUCCAUUUUUUCCCUUGCGAAGCACCAAGAGCUUGCCCGGUUCCAAAGAAGUAGCUGUGGAUUUUUAUUUUAUUUUAUUUUUUUCCCUCCUUCGUUCUUCUUUCUGAAUCUUUUGGGGGUUUCGGGCUCUUAUUGAGAAUGCCGGGACCAGCACUGGGUGCAGCCCCAUGCAGAGGGGGUGAACGCCUCUGGAGAAGCAAUGGGAGCAGCACACCAAGAGCUGACAACUGCAGUGCCUUGGGUCUGAGACUGUCUGGGAGCUGUGUCCCUUCACAUUACAUGGCUGCAUCCUCCCCAACACAUCCCAUAGGGGUGAGGUGGGAUUCUGGGGGGGCACAGGGCCAAACCGCAGCGAAGGGGACGUCAAGAAGGGGAAAAAUGUCACCCUCAGAAACAAUUAAACUGCUUAAUAAAAUCCGUUGCCUCUCGGA